CUGGGGCAAGCUCAGAUGCUCUGGGUGGGAAAGCCCACGUGAGGUGUUUUGGGGACCUUUAAGGAAUAGUGCAGUGGAGCAUGUUUAGCAAAUGCAGAAAUAGAGAGACACCAGAGGCCCAGCUGGCAUGUAGAUGGGGUGCAUGUGGACUGCAGGGCUCUAAGGUGUUGGCCAGGUAUUUGCUUUUAAGCAGAAAGUAAGAGGCACGUUCCUGGCACUGAGGACACUUCCAAAUUCCAGGCUCUAGCUCCAUGAAGAAGCUCAGCUCUGCCAAACACAGAGAGAGCAGUGUAAGCCAGGAGAGGCCGAAGAAGAUGGAUGCUUUUCCUCUUCAUCUCAAACUUGAAAACUCUGGAGAUGUUUUUUACUCAAACCCGGAAGGUUUACCCAGCGUGGACAAUUUCAGUAAAAAUCAUUUACUUCAGCCUUUUUAUUUUAAUUGAAGCCAUUCUUCUUUUCUCCCAGCUUUCUUUUCCCAUUCUUUUCCUCCUGGUAUUUGACUGUCCAUCUGUAAUUCUGCUUCAGUGUUUGCUAGUUUUCUGUGUCUUGCUCUGCCAGUACAACUGUCAUCGCACGCAUUGUGCUAUGUCCUUUAUGAAACGAUGUGCAGAUAGCAAACAGUCCGUACGUACAAUACAAAGGCUGCUCUUACCUCUGUGUUGGCAUCAUCUCCCCAUCCGCAAUUAUCCUUCCAUUUCUUCUCUUUGUCCUUUUCUGUUCUGUGGGCUUUGAUUUUCCCAUGUUUUCUGCAGCCUGGCCCCUUGCCAGCUUUGCUUUCCCCUUUUUCAAGCUGAG
ensembl:lncRNA